rnacentral:rRNA from 1 species
CCCUUAGAUGUCCUGGGCCGCACGCGCGUUACACUGAUGCAUUCAACGAGCCUAUAACCUUGGCCGAGAGGCCUGGGCAAUCUUGUUAACGUGCAUCGUGAUAGGGAUAGAUUAUUGAAAUUAUUAAUCUUGAACGAGGAAUUCCUAGUAAACGCAGAUCAUCAAUCUGCAUUGAUUACGUCCCUGCCCUUUGUACACACCGCCCGUCGCACCUACCGAUUGAGUGAUCCGGUGAAUAAUUCGGACCGAUGCAGUGCUCAGCUUCUGAACUUUGCAUUGGAAAGUUUAGUGAACCUUAUCACUUAGAGGAAGGAGAAGUCGUAACA